UGGGGAAUAUUGCACAAUGGGCGCAAGCCUGAUGCAGCCAUGCCGCGUGUAUGAAGAAGGCCUUCGGGUUGUAAAGCACUUUCAGCGGGGAGGAAGGCGGUGAGGUUAAUAACCUCAUCGAUUGACGUUACCCGCAGAAGAAGCACCGGCUAACUCCGUGCCAGCAGCCGCGGUAAUACGGAGGGUGCAAGCGUUAAUCGGAAUUACUGGGCGUAAAGCGCACGCAGGCGGUUUGUUAAGUCAGAUGUGAAAUCCUCGGGCUCAACCUGGGAACUGCAUCUGAUACUGGCAAGCUUGAGUCUCGUAGAGGGGGGUAGAAUUCCAGGUGUAGCGGUGAAAUGCGUAGAGAUCUGGAGGAAUACCGGUGGCGAAGGCGGCCCCCUGGACGAAGACUGACGCUCAGGUGCGAAAGCGUGGGGAGCAAACAGG
rnacentral:rRNA from 1 species